rnacentral:tRNA from 1 species
GCCCCCGUAGCUCAGCUGGAUAGAGCACCGGCCUCCGGAGCCGGUGGCGUGGGUUCGAGUCCCGCCGGGGGUACCC